UACGUAGGGUGCAAGCGUUGUCCGGAAUUAUUGGGCGUAAAGAGCUCGUAGGCGGUUCGUCACGUCGGCUGUGAAAUCCCGAGGCUCAACCUCGGGUCUGCAGUCGAUACGGGCGGACUGGAGUACUGCAGGGGAGACUGGAAUUCCUGGUGUAGCGGUGAAAUGCGCAGAUAUCAGGAGGAACACCGGUGGCGAAGGCGGGUCUCUGGGCAGUAACUGACGCUGAGGAGCGAAAGCGUGGGGGAGCGAAACAGG
rnacentral:rRNA from 1 species